GACAGAGGGUGCAAACGUUGUUCGGAUUUACUGGGCGUAAAGCGUGUGUAGGCGGCUUCGCAAGUUGGAUGUGAAAUCCCACGGCUCAACCGUGGACGUGCAUCCAAAACUGCGUCGCUAGAGUCUCGGAGAGGAAGGUGGAAUGCUUGGUGUAGAGGUGAAAUGCGCAGAUAUCAGGAGGAACACCGGUGGCGAAGGCGGGUCUCUGGGCCGAUACUGACGCUGAGGAGCGAAAGCGUGGGGAGCGAACAGG
rnacentral:rRNA from 1 species